GAUGAACGCUGGCGGCGUGCCUAAUACAUGCAAGUCGAGCGAACAGACGAGGAGCUUGCUCCUCUGACAUUAGCGGCGGACGGGUGAGUAACACGUGGAUAACCUACCUAUAAGACUGGGAUAACUUCGGGAAACCGGAGCUAAUACCGGAUAAUAUAUUGAACCGCAUGGUUCAAUAGUGAAAGACGGUUUUGCUGUCACUUAUAGAUGGAUCCGCGCCGCAUUAGCUAGUUGGUAAGGUAACGGCUUACCAAGGCAACGAUGCGUAGCCGACCUGAGAGGGUGAUCGGCCACACUGGAACUGAGACACGGUCCAGACUCCUACGGGAGGCAGCAGUAGGGAAUCUGCCGCAAUGGGCGAAAGCCUGACGGAGCAACGCCGCGUGAGUGAUGAAGGUCUUCGGAUCGUAAAACUCUGUUAUUAGGGGAGAACAAAUGUGUAAGUAACUAUGCACGUCUUGACGGUACCUAAUCAGAAAGCCACGGCUAACUACGU
rnacentral:rRNA from 1 species